AACGAACGCUGGCGGCAGGCUUAACACAUGCAAGUCGAGCGCCCCUCCUUCAAGCAAGCUUGAAGGAAUUUUUCCUUGAAAAGAGAAGAUCAGAAAGCUUCUAAAGAAGCUUUCUUGAUGGAGGGGAGCGGCAGACGGGUGAGUAACGCGUGGGAAUCUACCCAUCCCUACGGAACAACUCCGGGAAACUGGAGCUAAUACCGUAUACGCCCUUUUGGGGAAAGAUUUAUCGGGGAUGGAUGAGCCCGCGUUGGAUUAGCUAGUUGGUGGGGUAAGAGCCUACCAAGGCGACGAUCCAUAGCUGGUCUGAGAGGAUGAUCAGCCACAUUGGGACUGAGACACGGCCCAAACUCCUACGGGAGGCAGCAGUGGGGAAUAUUGGACAAUGGGCGCAAGCCUGAUCCAGCCAUGCCGCGUGAGUGAUGAAGGCCCUAGGGUUGUAAAGCUCUUUCACCGGAGAAGAUAAUGACGGUAUCCGGAGAAGAAGCCCCGGCUAACUUCGUGCCAGCCGCCGCCGUAACAC
rnacentral:rRNA from 1 species